rnacentral:rRNA from 1 species
GGGUUGUGAGGUUAAGCGACUAAGCGUACACGGUGGAUGCCCUGGCAGUCAGAGGCGAUGAAGGACGUGCUAAUCUGCGAAAAGCGACGGCGAGGUGAUAUGAACCUUUGACCCGUCGAUGUCCGAAUGGGGAAACCCAGUGUGAUUCGUCACACUAUCGUUAACUGAAUACAUAGGUUAACGAGGCGAACCGGGGGAACUGAAACAUCUAAGUACCCCGAGGAAAAGAAAUCAACCGAGAUUCCCCCAGUAGCGGCGAGCGAACGGGGAGCAGCCCGGAGUCUGAAUCAGCUUGUGUGUUAGUGGAAGCGUCUGGAAAGUCGCACGGUACAGGGUGACAGUCCCGUACACGAAAAUGCACAGGUUGUGAACUCGAAGAGUAGGGCGGGACACGUGGUAUCCUGUCUGAAUAUGGGGGGACCAUCCUCCAAGGCUAAAUACUCCUGACUGACCGAUAGUGAACCAGUACCGUGAGGGAAAGGCGAAAAGAACCCCGGCGAGGGGAGUGAAAAAGAACCUGAAACCGUGUACGUACAAGCAGUGGGAGCACCUUCGUGGUGUGACUGCGUACCUUUUGUAUAAUGGGUCAGCGACUUAUAUUCUGUAGCAAGGUUAACCGUAUAGGGGAGCCGCAGGGAAACCGAGUCUUAACUGGGCGUUAAGUUGCAGGGUAUAGACCCGAAACCCGGUGAUCUAGCCAUGGGCAGGUUGAAGGUUGGGUAACACUAACUGGAGGACCGAACCGACUAAUGUUGAAAAAUUAGCGGAUGACCUGUGGCUGGGGGUGAAAGGCCAAUCAAACCGGGAGAUAGCUGGUUCUCCCCGAAAGCUAUUUAGGUAGCGCCUCGUGAACUCAUCUUCGGGGGUAGAGCACUGUUUCGGCUAGGGGGCCAUCCCGGCUUACCAACCCGAUGCAAACUACGAAUACCGAAGAAUGUUAUCACGGGAGACACACGGCGGGUGCUAACGUCCGUCGUGAAGAGGGAAACAACCCAGACCGCCAGCUAAGGUCCCAAAGUCAUGGUUAAGUGGGAAACGAUGUGGGAAGGCACAGACAGCCAGGAUGUUGGCUUAGAAGCAGCCAUCAUUUAAAGAAAGCGUAAUAGCUCACUGGUCGAGUCGGCCUGCGCGGAAGAUGUAACGGGGCUAAACCAUGCACCGAAGCUGCGGCAGCGACGCUUAUGCGUUGUUGGGUAGGGGAGCGUUCUGUAAGCCGUUGAAGGUGUGCUGUGAGGCAUGCUGGAGGUAUCAGAAGUGCGAAUGCUGACAUAAGUAACGAUAAAGCGGGUGAAAAGCCCGCUCGCCGGAAGACCAAGGGUUCCUGUCCAACGUUAAUCGGGGCAGGGUGAGUCGACCCCUAAGGCGAGGCCGAAAGGCGUAGUCGAUGGGAAACAGGUUAAUAUUCCUGUACUUGGUGUUACUGCGAAGGGGGGACGGAGAAGGCUAUGUCAGCCGGGCGACGGUUGUCCCGGUUUAAGCGUGUAGGUGUGUGUUCCAGGCAAAUCCGGUUCACUUUAACACUGAGGCGUGAUGACGAGGCACUACGGUGCUGAAGUGAUAAAUGCCCUGCUUCCAGGAAAAGCCUCUAAGCAUCAGGUAACACGAAAUCGUACCCCAAACCGACACAGGUGGUCAGGUAGAGAAUACCAAGGCGCUUGAGAGAACUCGGGUGAAGGAACUAGGCAAAAUGGUGCCGUAACUUCGGGAGAAGGCACGCUGAUAUGUAGGUGAAGCCCCUGCGGGCGGAGCUGAAAUCAGUCGAAGAUACCAGCUGGCUGCAACUGUUUAUUAAAAACACAGCACUGUGCAAACACGAAAGUGGACGUAUACGGUGUGACGCCUGCCCGGUGCCGGAAGGUUAAUUGAUGGGGUUAGCGGCAACGCGAAGCUCUUGAUCGAAGCCCCGGUAAACGGCGGCCGUAACUAUAACGGUCCUAAGGUAGCGAAAUUCCUUGUCGGGUAAGUUCCGACCUGCACGAAUGGCGUAAUGAUGGCCAGGCUGUCUCCACCCGAGACUCAGUGAAAUUGAACUCGCUGUGAAGAUGCAGUGUACCCGCGGCAAGACGGAAAGACCCCGUGAACCUUUACUAUAGCUUGACACUGAACACUGGUCCUUGAUGUGUAGGAUAGGUGGGAGGCUUUGAAGCGUGGACGCCAGUCUGCGUGGAGCC